ACAAUACAGCACACGUAUCUGCAUGCUGCUAAAGAUGAACACUUAGAAGAACUGAUUCAAGUUCUGACCUGGGAAACGUUUUAGCAGGGGUUUAUUAUUCAUAAUCAGGAGUGCUUAUUUAAUAAGCAAUGUUUCUAAUUUCAAAAGCUGAUUCUUGGCUCUGGACAGAGGUUGAAGAGCGAUGAAGUCAUCACCUAUUGCCACACGGUUGGAAUACAUCUACACCGAGAAAGGAGUAACAGAAUACACAAGAGAUGUCGGUACAAAACCUUCUUCACCACAUCAGGAAAGAGGCAAGUUAUGACAAUGAUGAUGAUGGCAAACCAGGCUGAGCCACUGGACAGCAAUUGAACAAAAACAAAGUACAUAUCCUGGGUGUGGAGGAAUGGCCUGAAAGAGAAAAAGACAAAUACGUACAUGAAAGGAUGAUCUUAAAACCUGGAUAAUGCCACCAUAGAAGAGAGAGAAGAUGAAAUAGAAGGCUAUUGACCCCCAUGUCACAAAAUGGUUCAUCCAUGUCCAGAAAUGAGUCUCUAAUGCAAGCUGUUAUUAAAGGAGAGACAACAGUGAGCAUGGUGUAAGAUACAUUUAUCUGCAGCUUAGUACUGUAAUAAUUUGCCUCAAUGCCACAACAAAGACCUUAGCAAAAUUGACACAUAAAACCUGCUACCAUUGCGCAAAUCACUACCAGGUACCACUACACAAUUGUAAGCAGGGUGCAUACAUCAUGUAUACAGUCAGAUAAGAAAAAAAAUCACUUCUCUAAAACUAUGGUGCAAGUAGCCUACCAACCAGAUGCAGGGAAAACAAUACAAGUACUAUGCCAGUUAAACCUAGAAUUAAAAGCAAAAGCUUCAGUUAUGUACCUUUAAAGUGACAGUUAUGACCAUAACUGUAAAGACCAGCGUUCCAAAUGUCCAG